GGGAAACAUAUGUUAAUAUUGUCAAAGCAAGUGAAGUAGAUAUUACUUCUGUCUCUCUCUCCUCUUCCUCUAACCCCCUCCUCUCUCCCUCCCUCCAGGCCCCCUGGUUCAGAGCACCAAAUCCUCCAGCCCUGGAUAGUGGUCAACCUGGUGAUAGCCCUGUUAGUGGGCCUGGCCUGGGCCUUCGUCUCAACGCGACCAGACAUGGACUACACCGAAGAGUUUUUAAUGGCGAUGGCAGUUGAAGACCUCUACCCAAGACAUGACGAUAACCCAGAUCUUUCAGCCUGAAACUCAGUCCGUUACGUUCUAUUUGGUUCCAAAGCAGUUGGAAAAAAGAAUUUUUUUAAAAAGUUUUUUUUGUUUGUUUGUAUUAUGUGUACCAUUAAAAUGAUAAGAGAUUUCCAUUCCACAAUGUCAUUUAAACAUUAAAUAAAAGGGGAUCAAAAUAA